ACACAUUAAACCAAAAACAAACUAAAACAUUUGGUAACCUAAACCUAAACUAAGCCUCCGCCGGCAACCCUAAUCCUCCGCCUCUAGCCUCCAGGGCAUCCACCUCCUGAGUGUUGUCGUCGCAUCACCUAGUCACCGUAGUUGACUUCUAUCGAGUCGUCUGCUAUAGCCAUCAGAGGGAUACUUGUCCUUGUUAAUAGAAGAGCAAAAAGCACCUCAUGAACAAGCCUGUGACAAGAACUCAAAAAGGUCAAACUACGAUCUGUAUAAAAGUUCAAGCAGUCAUGAACUUACGUCUAUUUGUCUAUUUGUGCUUGGAUAAGAUCUGUAUAAAGGCAGAGUCUUGUAGGUAUCUUUACCUCGAACAGGAAGAACACUUAUCCUCCUCCGCCAUUGAAUUAAGAGGGAGAUAGAGAGGACGGUGGUGGGUGGGAGAGAUGGCUAUGGUCCACUAUCUUCAGAUCCGAAGUCGCUGUGCUCGGCUACACCUCAACGAUCUUAAGCCACCGUCGUCUUCCAUGGCACGCUUCACCUCCACAUCUCUUGCCGGCGUUGCUUACUCUCAACACAAAUCAGAAAGUACUAUCAACGAUGAAGGAAAGGAAGAGAACAAGAAAAGAAAAGGAGAAACAAAAUCUGGAUCUAGGAAAGUAGAGAGACGGAGAGGAAGAGAAAGAGAUAGACAGAAAGUUUAAAAAAAAUAUUGAUUAAUUAUAUCCAUUAGAUCGAAAACAAUCAACGGUGGAUGGUAAAACUUUAGUUAUCCUCACCCUUCUGAAUUAGCUUCUC
rnacentral:lncRNA from 1 species